rnacentral:rRNA from 1 species
AACGAACGCUGGCGGCAUGCCUAACACAUGCAAGUCGAACGAGACCUUCGGGUCUAGUGGCGCACGGGUGCGUAACGCGUGGGAACCUGCCCUUAGGUUCGGAAUAACUCCCCGAAAGGGGUGCUAAUACCGGAUAAUGUCUUCGGACCAAAGAUUUAUCGCCUUUGGAUGGGCCCGCGUUGGAUUAGCUAGUUGGUAGGGUAAAAGCCUACCAAGGCGACGAUCCAUAGCUGGUCUGAGAGGAUGAUCAGCCACACUGGGACUGAGACACGGCCCAGACUCCUACGGGAGGCAGCAGUAGGGAAUAUUGGACGAUGGGCGAAAGCCUGAUCCAGCAAUGCCGCGUGAGUGAUGAAGGCCUUAGGGUUGUAAAGCUCUUUUAGCCGGGAUGAUAAUGACAGUACCGGGAGAAUAAGCACCGGCUAACUCCGUG